rnacentral:lncRNA from 10 species
CUGAAUCUUUUUAAAUCCUUUGCAACUGAAGAUGGUCUCUCCAUCAGAGAAGCAAUUAACCAAAUGCCUGACUACAGCGUAUAUAGCAUCUGUUAUAAAAGCAUAAAAGGUUAACUUAAAUCCUGGCACACAAAGGAGAUGUCAGACCAGAACAAAUCAGCAUGGAAAUACCUGGAGGAGAUACAAGGUUAAGGUGGAGCAUAUGUACAGUCAAGAGGAUGUUCAUGACUAGUGGAAUGUGUUUUUCAGAUUGCAAAGACUGGAAGGUGCAGGUGACAAGGAGAUUAAACAAGGUCACUUGUUUUCUUUCCUUCUCUGAAAUAAAGAAGAAGUGGCCGUAUCACACAAUUUCGACCCAUGGGAUAUAAAUGGAAGUCGACUGUGAUUUUUCCCAGUCAUUGCUUUCUGUUAAUGAGAUCUGUUUUAUUUCUCUUUUCUUUUUUCGUCCUACUAAAAAUGCAUGUGAUUGUCAUAGCUGAAA